GACGAACGCUGGCGGCGUGCCUCAUACAUGCAAGUCGAGCGAAGGCCAACCUGGAGUAAUCCAGGGGAAGCACUGAGCGGCGAACGGGUGAGUAACACGUGACCAACCUGCCCCAGACUCUGGGAUAACUCCGGGAAACUGGAGCUAAUACCGGAUAAGCUCCCACCUCCUCCUGGAGGAGGGAGGAAAGGUCCGCCGGUCUGGGAUGGGGUCGCGGCUUAUCAGCUUGUUGGUGAGGUAACGGCUCACCAAGGCUUCGACGAGUAGCUGGCCUGAGAGGGUAACCAGCCACACUGGGACUGAGACACGGCCCAGACUCCUACGGGAGGCAG
rnacentral:rRNA from 1 species